rnacentral:rRNA from 1 species
ACCUCUCGGGGUUACAGCCUUGCUGAAUUAUUCACCCUUGUCUUUUGCGUACUUCUUGUUUCCUUGGUGGGUUCGCCCACCACUAGGACAAACAUAAACCUUUUGUAAUUGCAAUCAGCGUCAGUAACAAAUUAAUAAUUACAACUUUCAACAACGGAUCUCUUGGUUCUGGCAUCGAUGAAGAACGCAGCGAAAUGCGAUAAGUAGUGUGAAUUGCAGAAUUCAGUGAAUCAUCGAAUCUUUGAACGCACAUUGCGCCCUUUGGUAUUCCAAAGGGCAUGCCUGUUCGAGCGUCAUUUGUACCCUCAAGCUUUGCUUGGUGUUGGGCGUCUUGUCUCUAGCUUUGCUGGAGACUCGCCUUAAAGUAAUUGGCAGCCGGCCUACUGGUUUCGGAGCGCAGCACAAGUCGCACUCUCUAUCAGCAAAGGUCUAGCAUCCAUUAAGCCUUUUUUCAACUUUUGACCUCGGAUCAGGUAGGGAUACCCGCUGAACUUAAGCAUAUCAA